CAUAGGGUAGUAUAAUUAAUACCUUUUGCUUACACCAAAAUAUUGGCUUCAAACCCCCUAUGA
rnacentral:tRNA from 1 species